AACGAACGCUGGCGGCAUGCCUAACACAUGCAAGUCGAACGAGACCUUCGGGUCUGGUGGCGCACGGGUGCGUAACGCGUGGGAACCUGCCCUUAGGUUCGGCCUAACUCCCCGAAAGGGGUGCUAAUACCGGAUAAUGUCUUCGGACCCAAGAUUUAUCGCCUUUGGAUGGGCCCGCGUUGGAUUGGCUAGUUGGUAGGGUAAAAGCCUACCAAGGCGACGAUCCAUAGCUGGUCUGAGAGGCUGAUCAGCCACACUGGGACUGGGCCACGGCCCAGACUCCUACGCGAUGCAGCAGUGGGUAAUAUUGGACAACGGGCGAAAGCCUGAUCCAGCACUGCCGGUUGAGUGCUGAAGUCCUUAGGGUUGUAAAGCUCUCUUACCCGGGAUGAUAAUGACAGUACCGGGAGAAUAAGCACCGGCUAACUCCGUG
rnacentral:rRNA from 1 species